CCUGGCUGGUGCAGUGUUAGUUGCUCUCAAUCAUGAAGGUAGAGGAUUCUUGGAAUAAUUACAGACUUGUUCAAAAUACCUUGAAAAGUCCUUGUACUCAUUUUCAUGGUGGAAAAAAACCUCCCCUCCUUCUCUAUGGCCAUAGUUCUGUUUACUUUUGAAAGUUCCUGACCAGCUGCCUUUCUGGAAGGGACAUGAAAUGUUUCAAACUUAAUGAUAAAACCUGCCACUCACUCCGGGUUGUUGCUCAGUGCACGUGGUUCUGUGCAGACCUAGUGCUGACCCGACUGCUGGGGCUGGCUGGCCGUCAGCUGGCUGGGCAUAGUGGAGGAGGCUUGCAGCAGCCGCCAUGUGCACACAGCAAACUUAUGGUGUGACUUGGAGCCACUCAAGCUAGAGAGGCAGGUGCCAAGGAGGGGCGUUUUGAAGCCAGCAUCCACUGGAGGGCACUGUCCACUUCAGUGGGAGUAUAACCAAGUGAAGUUUCAGCAGUUUCCUAAGGAAAGCCCAGUCACCUGGUGCCAGUGUCUAAGUCAUGGCAUUAACACUUUAGCUUCCCUAGGGGUGUGGUCUCAGGUGGCUUCCAAGGGCUCACCAUUCAGCUGUGGCUUUCAGUUUGACCUUCUUGCCACUGUGACUAGAACUCUCACCCAUCUCUUGGAACAUAUUCUGGAAGCUUUGUUUUCUGUGACCUCGAGUGCUUUGUCAUUUAGCAUAUCUCCAUGAAUAUUUUAAAUCCGAUGAGAAGUGACUUGGAGCACAUCUCCAUGUAAGUAAGUUAGGCUUGCCUAGAAUGGCAUUCCAGGGCUGGUGCCCUUGCUCAUGUCCCCAGCACAGGGCUGUCCCUUCUGAACAAGCAAAGCUUAACAAGCCUCUGAGCUGCAUUUCAAGGUCAAAUCCCCAAACAAGUGGAAAAAGUUGAAUGUGUACAGAUUUAUGGUUUAUAAGGGGCUUUUCCAUGGUGGAACCAGUCUGGCCCCAUGAAUGGAUGCAGGGGGUGGAAUAUGGGUGUUAGUUGGUUUCUCCUUAAGUAUAUAAGAUAAAUUACACUUUGCCAAACAGAUUAAUUUAUGUAUUUGCUCAUCUAGUUCACAUAAGAAAUGUAGCUCCUUCCUAGGUGUGGAUGUACUCUGAGUAUAUGUCUGAGCACACUCAAAAUAGCCACUUGAGCUGUGAUGAGUUUAGGAUCCAUUGUGUUGCCUUUCUGCAUUGUGCUACAUCUUAGUACUUCUUGGAAUUCAGUGAAAAUAUGUAGUGUUAUCCCUGUGACUGCCUCUUUCUAAUGCCCAGAACAUUCCCUUGACCACAGAGAUGGCAGUAGAACCAGAUAGAAAGGAAUAAGUUUCAGUGCACUGCAAAGAAAUUUAAUAUGUUUAAAGAUUAUCUACACAAAUGCCUAUCAAAGGUACAGCAUUUUGUAAAAUGAGAUUGUCAUUGUUUAUUUCUUCCUCCAUUUUAUCUGUUUUUGAACAUUUGAAGUGCUGGGAAUGUAGCUUAGUGGUAGAACGCUUGCUUGCCUAGCAUGCAGGAGGCCUGGGUUCUACCCCAAGUCCUGCAAAAAUAAAUCAAAUAAAUAAAGACUAAUUUGAAAUAGUUAAUAUUUGAGGAGUUAAAGAUGUUUCAGGUUGGAAAUACAUAUGCAACAAAACGAAACUAUAACCCUAUCUCUCACCAUGCACAAAACUCAACUCAAAAUGGAUCAAGGACUUAGGAAUAAAAUCAGAGACCCUACAUCUAAUAGAAGAAAAAGUAGGCCCUAAUCUACAUCAUGUGGGAUUAGGCCCUAACUUCAUUAAUAAGACUCCAGUAGCACAAGAAUUAAAAUCAAGAAUCAAUAAAUGGGAUGGACUCAAACUAAAUAGUUUCUUCUCAGCAAAAGAAACAAUCUGUGAGUACAUAGAGAGCCUACAUCUUGGGAGCAAAUCUUUACUCUUCACACAUCAGAUAGAGCACUAAUCUCUAGGGUAUAUAAAGAAUCAAACAACUAAACACCAAAAAAACAAAUAACCAGUCAAUAAAUGGGUCAAGGACAUGAACAGAGAUGUCUCAGAAGACGAUAUACAAUCAAUCAACAAACAUAUGAAAAAAUGUUCAUCAUCGCUAGCAAUUAGAGAAAUGCAAAUCAAAACCACUCUAAGAUUUCAUCUCACUCCAGUCAGAAUGGCAGCUAUUAUGAAGACAAACAACAAUAAGUGUUGGUGAGGAUGUGGGGAAAAAGGCACACACAUACAUUGCUAGUGAGACUGCAAAUUGGUGCAGUCAAUAUGGAAAGCAGUAUGGAGAUUCCUUGGAAAAUUGGGAGUGGAACCACCAUUUGACCCAGAUAUCCCUCUCCUCUGUCUAUACCCAAAGGACUUAAAAACAGCAUACUGCAGGGACACAGCCACAUCAAUGUUUAUAAGCAGCACAAUUCAUAAUAGCUAAACGUGGAACCAACCUAGAUGCCCUUCAAUAGAUGAAUGGAUAAAAAAAAAUGUGGCAUAUAUACAAAAUGGAAUAUUUCUCAUCAAUAAAAGAGAAUAAAAUCAUGGCAUUUGCAGAUAAAUGGAUGGAGUUAGAGAAGAUAAUGCUAAGUGAAGUUAGACAAUUUCAAAAAACCGAAUGCCAAAUGUUUUCUCUGAUGUAAGAAGGCUGAUUCAUAC
rnacentral:lncRNA from 1 species